CAUGGCUCAGAACGAACGCUGGUGGCGUGUCUUAUACAUGCAAGUCGAGCGAGGCAGCAAUGCCGAGCGGCGAACGGGUGAGUAACGCGUAAGCAAUCUGCCCCAUAUCAGGAAAUACCCGUGCCAACGCGCGGUUAAUGUCCAGGAGAGUGGCUCCUUGCAUGAAGAGUUGACUAGAGAUUUAUCGGUAUGGGAUGAGCUUGCGUCCGAUUAGCUAGUUGGCGGGGCAACGGCCCACCAAGGCGACGAUCGGUAGCCGGCCUGAGAGGGUGAUCGGCCACAUUGGGACUGAGAUACGGCCCAGACUCCUACGGGAGGCAGCAGUAGGGAAUAUUGCACAAUGGGGGAAACCCUGAUGCAGCAACGCCACGUGUGGGAAGAAGCAUUUCGGUGUGUAAACCACUGUCAUGAGGGAAUAAGGCCCUUAUUCGUAAGGGAUUGAAUGUACCUUGAGAGGAAGCACCGGCAAACUUCGUGCCAGCAGCCGCGGUAAUACGAGGGGUGCAAGCGUUGUUCGGAAUUACUGGGCGUAAAGGGAGCGUAGGCGGAGAUUCAAGCGGAUUGUACAAUCCCGGGGCCCAACCCCGGCUCUGCAGUCCGAACUGGAUCUCUUGGAUAGUUCAGGGGCAGGCGGAAUUCCUGGUGUAGCGGUGGAAUGCGUAGAGAUCAGGAAGAACACCGAUGGCGAAGGCAGCCUGCUGGGA
rnacentral:rRNA from 1 species